GUACACUCCUGCGGGAGGCAGCAGUGGGGAAUAUUGCACAAUGGGCGGAAGCCUGAUGCAGCAACGCCGCGUGCGGGAUGACGGCCUUCGGGUUGUAAACCGCUUUCGCCUGUGACGAAGCGUGAGUGACGGUAAUGGGUAAAGAAGCACCGGCUAACUACGUGCCAGCAGCCGCGGUGAUACGUAGGGUGCGAGCGUUGUCCGGAUUUAUUGGGCGUAAAGGGCUCGUAGGUGGUUGAUCGCGUCGGAAGUGUAAUCUUGGGGCUUAACCCUGAGCGUGCUUUCGAUACGGGUUGACUUGAGGAAGGUAGGGGAGAAUGGAAUUCCUGGUGGAGCGGUGGAAUGCGCAGAUAUCAGGAGGAACACCAGUGGCGAAGGCGGUUCUCUGGGCCUUUCCUGACGCUGAGGAGCGAAAGCGUGGGGAGCGAACAGGCUUAGAUACCCUGGUAGUCCCA
rnacentral:rRNA from 1 species